GGCGGUUUGAUCAUGGCUCAGAACGAACGCUGGCGGCAGGCCUCAAACAUGCAAGUCUAGGGGGUGUAGCAAUACAUCACCGGCGGACGGGUGCGUAACGCGUGGGAAUAUACCUAUUGGUUCGGAACAACUGAGGGAAACUUCAGCUAAUACCGAAUGUGUCCUAACGGAGAAAGAUUUAUCGCCAAUAGAUUAGCCCGCGUUCGAUUAGCUAGUUGGUGGGGUAAUGGCUCACCAAGGCGACGAUCGAUAGCUGUUCUGAGAGGAAGAUCAGCCACACUGGGACUGAGACACGGCCCAGACUCCUACGGGAGGCAGCAGUUGGGAAUCUUGGACAAUGGGGGAAACCCUGAUCCAGCCAUGCCGCGUGAGUGAUGAAGGCCUUCGGGUUGUAAAACUCUUUCGCGCACGACGAUAAUGACGGUAGUGCGAGAAGAAGCUCCGGCUAACUUCGUGCCAGCAGCCGCGGUAAUA
rnacentral:rRNA from 1 species